UGAGGAUGUAGCUCAGUGGCAGUGCACUUGCCUAGCAUGCACAAGGCCCUGGGUUUGAUCCCCAGCACCACAA
rnacentral:tRNA from 1 species